CUCUAGACCCUGGUUUUGGUUCAAACAAAUCAGUCCAUUCUGGGCAUUACAGGUCACUUCUUGGCCUACAUCUGACAGUGGAAGUCCAGGGUAGAGUUUCGCUCUGCAUUGCACUUCACUGGGUUUACCACAGACACUGGGAUAAGUGUCAGUUAUUCUUUUUAUUGGCACAAUUUCACCACCAUUGACACCUGUUGUAGGAGGACCAAAGUCCAUCCAAUCUGACCAGUGGCAAGGUUCACAAGUUGGAGGUAAGGUUGUGCUUGAAGUUGUUGUGGUGGUGGGAGUUGUUGUUGGAGUGGUUGUUUCUGUAGUUGUGGUUGUCAUAGUUGUUGUUGGAGUUGUCGUUGGAGUGGUUGUUGGAGAUG